UUCAUGAGCAUAUUUACAAUACAUGCAUACAAUAUUUUUUUAAUGGGCAUUAGGAGGGUGUUUGUAUUUCGUCUGUAGAUCUGCGUAACCUCUUUGUCUGCGCCCCGCAGAUCACGCGCAAACAUAAGAGUUUGUAGCCUGUUUGUUUUUCAGAAGCCCACAGACAUACAAACAUCUGCGCGAGGUCUUCAUUGUAUAGAUUUGGGCUUGAGUUUUCUAAAGUCUGUACACAUUAUUAAAACCUAAAAAAAACUCCCUUUAUUGCUUUAGACAUAUCAUCACCUCUUUCGUUCUCAGCCUUCAACCCCCCGCCCUUCACCUGUCAUCCUCCUCCUCUCGCUGCCAGUGCCUUUACCGUCCACCCAGUUGUCGUCUUCCAUCGUCGUUGACGUCUACAUCCGCCGCCGACAUCCAUCGCUACCUCUUUAGCCUCUUAACAAAACACCACAGAUUUUCUUCAGCCGCUCCACCAUCGAUCUUCACAAUCUCACCGCCGGUUUUUCCACUGAAACAGGUUAGCCGUCGCUCGCUACAUCUUAACGUCGUCUUCGAUCUCUACUUUCACCGUUCAUUGGUAUUAAUUAGGCUGGAAGCAUUAGGCUAAAGAUUUCCUUGAACUAAGUUCUUAUUUGAUUUGCUGGGAAGAGUAGCAUUGGCAAAAGGAAAGCUCAAUUUUAUAAUCAUAAGUGACCCUUGGAUGCAAGACAACCAUUUGAUGAAAUGCUUGAAAGAGUUGGGGUUUAAUAUGGUUACAUUAAAUGUGAUUCAUCAUUGAUAUGUUAAUUAGUUGGAUUUUUUCUCUAAAAAUGAUAGCACAUACUCUAACAUGUAUAGAGAUGGCAAUAAGCUAAAAAUAUUUGUAUAAUAUGUGAAAUUAGAGUACGAGUGUGAUGAAUGAGUCAUGUGUUGCAAUUUUCUUUUUACCUAAUGUCAAUAAGAUUUUAGUGGUUUGAUUUA